GCCUGGGUGGCUCAGUCGGUUAAGUGUCCGACUUCAACUCAGAUCAUGAUCUCACGGUCUGUGGGUUCGAGCCCUUCAUCGGGCU
rnacentral:tRNA from 1 species